rnacentral:pre_miRNA from 4 species
UUGUGUCAUUCUUCAAAGUGGUUGUGAAAUGUUUGCCUUUUUAUGCCUAUUCAUAUCACAGCCAGCUUUGAGGAGCGACGCGA